rnacentral:lncRNA from 1 species
GCGUAUGUCCGAUAGAUCUACCCGUUGUGGAUUGGAGAUUUGAAAAGGAUAUUAAAAGAAAACAAUUGCUUAAUUAUAGUAUUGAUUUCGGAGUUUGUAUAUUUUGUGGCAAUUGUGUUGAGUACUGUCCAACAAGCUGUUUAUCAAUGACUGAAGAAUAUGAACUUUCUACCUAUGAUCGUCAUGAAUUGAAUUACAAUCAAAUUGCUUUAAGUCGGUUACCAAUCUCCAUAAUGGGAGAUUACACAAUUCAAACAAUUAGGAAUUCGUCUGAAAGUAACAUAUCUUUUUCAUAGAUAUUUAGAAUGAAUAUGUUCCCUAUGGUAACUGGGUUCAUGAGUUAUGGUCAACAAACAAUACGUGCUACAAGGUACAUAGGUCAAAGUUUCAUAACUACCUUAUCCCACACAAAUCGUUUACCUAUAACGAUUCACUACCCUUAUGAAAAAUCAAUUACACCAGAGCGUUUCCGAGGGCGAAUCCACUUUGAAUUUGAUAAAUGUAUUGCUUGUGAAGUAUGUGUUCGCGUAUGUCCGAUAGAUCUACCCGUUGUGGAUUGGAGAUUUGAAAAGGAUAUUAAAAGAAAACAAUUGCUUAAUUAUAGUAUUUAUUUCUCUUCAUUUCUAUCACAAUAAGAUGGACUUUACCGAGGAUGAGAAUGGAUCAGUUAUUAAAUCUUGGAUGGAAAUUUCUUUUACCUAUUUCCCUGGGCAAUCUCUUAUUAACAACCUCUUCUCAACUUGUUUCACUAUAAAUAAGAUAAUACAAUAAUAGUAAGAAUAUUUUCAACACAAAAGCUCUCUCAAACAAGAGAAAGAAACAUAUCUUUUUCAUAGAUAUUUAGAAUGAAUAUGUUCCCUAUGGUAACUGGGUUCAUGAGUUAUGGUCAACAAACAAUACGUGCUACAAGGUACAUAGGUCAAAGUUUCAUAACUACCUUAUCCCACACAAAUCGUUUACCUAUAACGAUUCACUACCCUUAUGAAAAAUCAAUUACACCAGAGCGUUUCCGAGGGCGAAUCCACUUUGAAUUUGAUAAAUGUAUUGCUUGUGAAGUAUGUGUUCGCGUAUGUCCGAUAGAUUUACCCGUUGUGGAUUGGAGAUUUGAAAAGGAUAUUAAAACAAAACAAUUGCUUAAUUAUAGUAUUGAUUUCGGAGUUUGUAUAUUUUGUGGCAAUUGUGUUGAGUACUGUCCAACAAGCUGUUUAUCAAUGACUGAAGAAUAUGAACUUUCUACCUAUGAUCGUCAUGAAUUGAAUUACAAUCAAAUUGCUUUAAGUCGGUUACCAAUCUCCAUAAUGGGAGAUUACACAAUUCAAACAAUUAGGAAUUCGUCUGAAAGUAAAAUAAACAAAGAAAAAUCUUCGAAUUCAAGAACGAUUACUGAUUACUAAACUUUGAUUUUGUCUUUUUGUUAUAAAAAUCUAAUAAUUCUUUAUUAAACUUUAAAAUUAAACUAUAAAGAAAAACUACUGCUUAUUGGAAAUUAUUUCUUAUUUUAAAUCAGACUAGAUUUUCGUGAUAUAAUAUAAUUUAUAACUAUACAGUUUAUACACAAAAAAAUACCCUAAUCCUUUUUUCCUUCCUUGAAUCCUUUAGUUUUAGUCAGUUCAUGAAAAAA